GAAGAAGAAGAAGAAGAAGAGAUGGAAGGCUCUCCGGCCAGCAGCUGCCUCCCGCUGCAGGCAAGAGAGCGCCUGCCUCGCCGGGCGGAGGACAGCCGAGCGACCGGAGUGACAGCAAAGGAAAGGCGGAGAGCAGGGGAAAGAAGCGUCUGCGCUGGCAAGCUCUCCCGGCAGCGCCGAGAGCCAGAGCUGCGGUGCCGCUGCGCCGAUGCUCCGUACGUUCGCAGUAACGGGUAGAGCGGAAGGCUCUGUGGCCAGGGAAGAGCGGCACGGACACGUUCCUGCUCGCUCCGUUGCACCGGAAUUUCGACGGCUGGGUUCGGCCGCUAAAUUGAUGGCGCUACCGGAAGAAAUUUCAGAAAAAAAGGGUGGCUUUUUCGUCGAUCUCUUUGUGAGAGUAUCAAAUCAGGCGGCGGUAAAUACGUAGAAGCAACUAGGCGUACUACGGCGUGUACCGGACAGCGUUGGCGUGCCGCUCUGCUAGCAGCGGAGAGCCAGAUGAGGAUGCCCGUGAUAUGAGAAAAGCUCUGUCCAGAGAUAUGGAGACGAAAUCAGUUGUACCUCACCCUGUGACACCGGAAGACAUUGAGUAACUGUAAG